CCUACGGGAGGCAGCAGUAAGGAAUAUUGGUCAAUGGGGGCAACCCUGAACCAGCCAUGCCGCGUGCAGGAAGACGGCCCUACGGGUUGUAAACUGCUUUUAUACGGGAAUAAACCUCUCUUCGUGAAGAGAGCUGAAUGUACUGUAAGAAUAAGGAUCGGCUAACUCCGUGCCAGCAGCCGCGGUAAUACGGAGGAUCCAAGCGUUAUCCGGAUUUAUUGGGUUUAAAGGGUGCGUAGGCGGCCUAUUAAGUCAGGGGUGAAAGACGGUGGCUCAACCAUCGCAGUGCCCUUGAUACUGAUGGGCUUGAUUACACUUGAGGUAGGCGGAAUGUGACAAGUAGCGGUGAAAUGCAUAGAUAUGUCACAGAACACCAAUUGCGAAGGCAGCUUACUAAGGUGUUAAUGACGCUGAGGCACGAAAGCGUGGGGAUCAAACAGGAUUAGAUACCCUGGUAGUCCACGCCCUAAACGAUGAAUACUCGAUGUUAGCGAUAUACAGUUAGCGUCAAAGCGAAAGCGUUAAGUAUUCCACCUGGGGAGUACGCCGCAAGGGUGAAACUUCAAAUUAGAGUAGNGNGNGNGAGNGCGAGCGACGACGAGGAGAGG
rnacentral:rRNA from 1 species